AAGCUGUGUUGUGGGCAUGAACUGACAAAAUCCUUGAACCACUCCCAACAUUGAAAGAAUGUUUCAUUUUAUUUUAUUUUUUUGUGAAGUUCAUGAUUGACUUUUUAAGGGU